AGUGAACGCUGGCGGCAGGCCUAACACAUGCAAGUCGAGCGGCAGAAGGGUGCUUGCUCGCGCUUACAGCGGGGGAGGGGCGGGCAGGGCCUAGGUAUCUCCGUGGCUGCGGUUUCUAACGUCCGGAAGUGGGCGCUAAUACCGCAUACGCCCUGAGGGAGAACGUGGGGAAUCAUCGGAUCUCACGCUAUUACAUGAGCCUAGGUCGGAUUAGCUAGUUGGUGGGGUAAAGGCCUACCAAGGCGACGAUCCGUAGCUGGUCUGAGAGGAUGAUCAGUCACACUGGAACUGAGACACGGUCCAGACUCCUACGGGAGGCAGCAGUGGGGAAUAUUGGACAAUGGGCGAAAGCCUGAUCCAGCCAUGCCGCGUGUGUGAAGAAGGUCUUCGGGUUGUAAAGCACUUUUGGUGGGGAGGAAGAGCAGUAGGUUAAUACCCUGCUGUUUUGACGGUACCAACAGAAUAAGCACCGGCUAACUUCGUG
rnacentral:rRNA from 1 species